UUUUUUUUUUUUUUUUUUUUUUUAAUUAGAUGCAUAUAUAAUUCAAUGAAUCACAUAUUUACUUUGAUGCAUAUGCAAAUAAUAGUUUCAAUGCAUGUACAUAUGUAAGAUUCAAUUCAUGGCAAAUAUCAAAUUCACAUAAUUGUAGCAAUUGUGAUUAUGAAGCAUACACAAUUUAUGUAGAAUCUAAAAUACGUUAAACGUAAAGUUGGGUCAUGCAUCAUGGUGAAUGUUCAUGCUAUCAGGGCUUGCAAAAUAUCGAGUUAAAAACCGUUGUUUGGAAAGAACCUGAUUGCGUGAUGAUAUGGAUGAACUGGUUUGAUGCAGAAAAAAUCUCCAACGUCAGAUUCCUAAGCGCAGCGGUAGGAGCGUGCUGAUAACGUGUUGUGGUCUAUUUUAUCUGACAGAGGGACUAGGGCCGGCGGCAGAGAGAGAGAGGAGAGAGAUGUGUGUUUGUAGAAUUGUAGGGGAAUGUGUGUGUUGUUAUCCCUCCUACAUUGUGCCUUUAUUUAUAGUAGUAAAGGAAGAGAAGAUAUUCCUUCUCCUCCAAGUAAUACAAGUUGUAAUAGGAAAGGAUAACUAGAAUCAAAUCUUAUCUAGGAUUUACACAAUCAUACUUAAACUAUGAAUGUUUACAACAUAUAUUUAUAUUUAUGACUAAAUUUUUUUUCAUAUAUUUUUAGUUUUAGUUUGUACCCAUUUUUAAUUUGUAAUUCUUUUUUAACUUGUAGCAAUUUUAUUUUCACUUUUAAUUUGUACCCAUAUUUUUUAAAGUUUAUUUGUAUUUUUACCCAUAUAUAUUGUUUUUAUUUGUACUUUUUAUUUUGCUAAAUGUACCCAUUCAUGUAAAACUUUUUAAUCUUAAAAUGUACUCAUUCUUAAAUAUACCAAUUUGUUAUAUGUAAAAUUUACCCUCUUUUUUUUAUAUAUAAAAUCUAUUCAAUUUUUUUCUAAUCCAUUUUUAAACGUAUAUGGGUACAUUCUUGUUUCUUUGAUUUUAAAAUGUAUCCAUAUCAAGUUUAAUUGAAGAAAUUUACUAAUGUUAUUAAGCCUAAUAUCUUUCUUUUUUUUUUCUUUUCUUUUUUUUUUUUUUGUGAUUUAGAAGAAUGUACCCAUGUUUUGAUACAAUAAAUUUUUUGGUUAAUUUUGAUGAAUGUACCCAUGUUUAUACACACACACAAUAGUAUAUUUAUAUUUUAAUAUUUUUAAUCCCACAAAUUAUGGUUUUUUAAAUUUAAAAUCUAAUUUAUAUAAACAACUAAAAUUUCUAAUUUUUAAUUUAAAAAAAUAUAGUAACGUACAUAGAAAUAAAUUAUCACAUUAAUUUCAGGGACCUCGAUCAAAAAUUAAAAACCAACAAGAUUUUAAUCAAAGAAUAUUCAUAACUAAGGACCGCAUCCAAAGUUUCCCUAAAAAUAAUCUCCCAAAAAUGUGUGACAAAUAGGUAGGGAUUAUUAGAGGGUGUAUAAAAUGAUGGUCCUUAAACACAAACAUAGAGUUCAGUCCCGUCUAGGAUUUCGAAGAGCUAAAAGUGAUUUUUGAUUACUAAAAGGUCACUUCUAACUACAUUUGGCAUAACAAGCACUUGGAUUUUUUUUUUACAAAAAGUUUCAACUCAUUUGAAAUAAAAACACUUCUAGCAUAAGCUUUUUUUUUUUUUUUUUUUUUUUUUUUGCUUGCAUCAAAUGCAUUCAUUAUGACUUUGCAGUUGACUAGAGUCAUAUAUGAACUUUAACUUGUAUAAUCUUUUGGAUAGAAAUUGAGUUUAAAUUUAAAAUAGAAAGUUGCAACAUUUGAUGUGCAUUGAAGGAGGAGAGAUUUUUCUAAGUUACUUGAACAUGAUCAGUUCACCCGUGUCAUAAUAUACUUAAGGAGAAGGCUUUUACUUUUUCAAGUGUCCAUCUAAUUGUAUAAGACACAUGGUGUACCAAGUACACUAAAAAAUCUCUCCUACUAUGACAUCCUGUUUAUACCUAAUUUUGCAUUAUCAACAUGUGUAAUUGACGUCGUUGGAUGAAUUAAUAUUUUUCUAGACUUACUACUCAUCUCAAUUAUCGUAGUAAUUAUUGUAGAGAAAUAUAUGAGUUUGGAUGCAAGGAUAAAACUGAGAGGGCAGUGGAUUGAUACGUCGGAGGCAGCCAACAAAGGUGGUAGUCUGAUUAGACAAGGCAGGAAUUGUGGAAUCGGUUUGGCUGAUUUUUCUUAAGGAGUCCAUAUUUGUAAAGUUUUAGUUGCUGUUGUUAUUUAACACCGAUGAACAAGAUGCCACUUUUGUCCCAAGCUUCUUCGCUUACUACAACCCAAAGAGAAAUUAUCGCCAAUGACUUUGCAGUAAUAUCAAAUUUUCUAAACUUUCUCUAUCACUGCCUAUUCUUUACUACAAUCCAAACCAAACGAUCCAAUCCGGACCUUGGCAACUCCUAAUGGAAUAAUGCUCUGGAGAGAGACUGAGUUAAAUUUAAAAUAAAAAGUUACAAUUCUUCAUGUGCAUUUGAUGAGGAGAGAUUUUUCCAAGUUACCGGUACACAGGCAAUACAGCUGUGUCAUAAUAUAUGUGAAGCGAAUGUUUUUUUUUUUUUAAUACUUGUAUUAUGACACGUGGUCCGGUGACAUCCAAAAUUCUCUCAUAACAUGCCAUUCAAAUUAAAAGCCUUAUGAACAUGCAGAGAGUUCCCGUAUACUCGAAAAUUGGAAGAGUCGAAGUUUAAAUGAACCAGCAAACGCAGAGUGCAAUGCAAUCAAUAUUAAUCUGGCCGUUCCGGGUGCGUGUAUUAAUCUUUUGCUCGACUCUUGAAAUUCCUGAAUUCAUUAGUAAAUCAAAAUAAUACACUAUAUAACAAUCUGUAUGUUGCAGAUUCAACUUAUAUACAUAUAGAGUAAGGAGGGAAAUGAGAAAACUGUGGCAGGUUUGGCUGGAACUGUUGCAAUUUUAGCUCUCGCUGCGUACGGUCUAUAUGGAGUGUUUGGAUUGGGUUCCAGCCCAAGGAAGACGAUGAAGGCUCCCGAAAGAGAGUACCGAAUCUUCAGGGGUGAUUUCGAGGCUGACCCUUCUGCUUACUUCAGGGACCUGCGCAAGUAGCAAGUUGAAAAUUGGAACUGAAAGAGUACCUUAAAUAUGAAUACACAGUUGUUGGAGUUUUGGAGAGGUGGAGAGUUUUGCUUUUGUUUUGUUUAUGUUGUAUUUUCCCCUAUGAUCUAUGUUGAAUGUUAAACCUUGGAGUUGGGGUUGAUUAACAUUCUACGGUGAUACAAGGCCGCCAUACCUGCAAUCAGUGAGUGAGCGAGUGAAUUCCCGAAGCACCAACAUGAGUAAUUUAUUGCCCAAAAAAAGGCAACGAAAAACAUAUCAGAAAUGCUGCUAAUGUUGCCUUUAUUACCUUAACCUCGAAGGCAGAAGUCAUCAGAAGGUAAUACGCAACUGAAACAAGAAAAACCAAACUCAUCGCCUUCUCUUGUUGCCUUUGCCCUUUCCUAAUUGCCCAGACUUCAUAGCGUGUUCUUGCUCUUGUAGGAAAAGUCGUACUUUUCCAUAUUUCUCAGCUUUCUCUUCUUCCAUCAGCGCCUUAUCCCUUGCCUUCAUCUCGUAAAGGAAAGAAUUAUCCUUACGCAGUUCACGAAUAGCCUCUUUAGCUUCUUGCUUCAAAAGUUUCUUCAUCUUUCUUAGCUCGGCUCAUUCCCGGUCUGGAUCAUAGUCUCUGCCCUUAACAAAGCUGCACCAACAAAAUAUCAUUCAGUGGUUAAUCCAGCAAUACGUACAAGCGCUACCCAACAUAAUAACAUUAAGACAAUUGGGGACGGGUGGUAAAGAUAAAUUACUUCUCCUCAAAUUUCGGAUUGAGCAUUUUGAUAGCCACUGGCUUUUGCUUCCGCAACUGAAGUGGUUGCCGCAGAAUGUGAUGUUUAUCUGCUCGUCUUAAUCAGUUCAGCAACAUCUUUCAAUUUGUCUGUUAAUACUUGUGGUAUAUUAUCCUGUUCCGCCACUUCAAGCAACAAUACUGAAAUUGGCAAAAAGAUUUCAGGAAAAGAACUGAAUCCUUCAUAAACAAUGACAAACUCACGUAGAGUUUCAAUCACCGUCACCAGCACACUAGCCCUGAAAAUUAAAAGUUCAACUUUUAAAGACAGAAUACCAUAUGCAAACUUUACAGUAUUGAUAUACAAAAUUAGAAUUACAAAAGCAAUAAUCUGGUGGUGGCAAAAAUCAAGUUGGACCAAUUUUGAGGAUCAUUUAUCGACAGCAAAACUGAAGUCUGCAUAAACCCUAAACAACAUACGUCACGUGGGCACUUCUACAAUGUAUCAUUGAGUACUGUAACAAUUUCCUAACCUGAAAUCGUCAGAUCUGAAAAAAGAGGAGUCUUCCGGUAGGUCCAUUAUUGUGAGAAAAUUCAGAGGAUUGACCUGACCUACGGAUUCAUUUAUACAUAAGAGAGGCCUGAUUGCUUUUAAUUCCAUAAGAUGACAAAACUGCAAGAAAACAAAACGAGGAUUGUUACUUCGUCACAUAACUGUAAACUAAUUUCCUUCCAAGGACAAUGAAACCAUAAGGUGCCGCCUAAUGUAUAAAAAAUUACGUUACAAGGCAGUCAUACAUGAGAAUUUUGACUUGGCAUUGGCUUUCUGUCUUUAGCUGCCAUCAACAAUGUUGUGAGAAACAUGACUGCUUCAGGACAGAACUUCCGAGAUUGUUUGGUUAUCUACAGAAUGCAUUAAUUUUAAAAGAAAGAAAUGGGAAUUGAAACUGUUGGACAGAACAGUAAAUCGACCAAUUCAUAUAACUACAAAAUACAUACAGAGAGAAGCAUGGAGCACAAGAAAGAACCAACUGCAGUAUCACGACCAGACAUGAUAGGACUACGUGCCAGAUAUUCACACAUCAACAGUGUUGCUGGAGUCAUGACCACAUGACGAAAAUCAGAGCAUGGAAAUAUCAGGGACCAAAGCCUCAGAAGAAAUAUUGUCUUUGAAGAAGGCCAAUAACUCUGUUCUGUAAAAACAAAACAAUGACAAGAAGUCAGCACCUCAGCAAGAGGAAGCUUGUAACUAUGCUUCCGAACAAACAAAAAGCUAUAGAUUCCAUUAGGGAUUACCUGGGUUCUUAACGGUCUCACUAAAUUCCGUCCGCGCCCGUAAAAUUCUCUCACGAGCACAAAUUGCAGCGAAGUAUGGAGUCUCCAUACUCAUCUCAAUCAAUGGCUUAACCAGAAAAUUUAACAACUCCAUAUUCAACGGCUUUCUAUUUGCUAAUAUGGCAAAAUACUGCAGGAGUACACCAUAAAAUACCUGGAAAAAUGGCAGAAACACUCAUGAGUACUUAGCAAAUAUAAUGAAAACCGAAGAUGUAUAUCUUCACUGACUUUUUGCUUGGAUCAAGUCAAAUAUUAAACGACAGAACAGAAUUGUUCCACAUUUGACACAUAAUUUCAAUACUCGUUUCCAAAAACAUAGAAGCAACAAACAGUUUCAUACUUGCAUUUUCUUCCUGUUUUCUGCUGCAAGCUUGAUUGCAUUGCUUUUCCGGAUUCGAUUGAUAAUCAAGACAAUGUCAGCAUUAGAGAUUAUCCACCAAUGCACCAAACUCUUCAAAGCUUUUUGGAGCUUCGAUUAGGUACGGGAGGUCUGACUGAGUAGAAGGUCGUUUACCGUCCUGAGAUAUUUUCUUGGCAUCUAAAGAAUCGCCCUCUUUUUUACUGGCUUCAGAAGCAUCAAUUUUUUUCAUUUUUUUCAGCUUUCUUGGUUCCACCUCUUCUUCAUCAGCAUCAUCAUCCUCUUCAUGUGCUUCAGACCCAUCUUCUUUUUCUUCCUCCUCAUCCAAAUCCGUUCCAAGAUUAUCAUCAUCACUUUGUUCCCAGUCCUUCAUAAAUAGAUUCUUUUCACCCAGGUUAAUAUCUUUAUCAGAUCCUUCACUGUCAUCUUCAGGACUUUCUGAAUCCUCAGAAGCAUCGCCUUCUUCACUCUCAGAAUCGCUAGCAUCUUUUCUUUCUAGAAUCUCAUCAACCCAACCCUUUUUAAUCCGCGGCUCUUCAUCAAGAGAGAAGGAAUCGCCAAGAUCAUCUCCAGAUAUGGGUCUUGGCUUAUUAUGGUUAGAUGGUGUCUCAGCAUCUUCAUUGUCAUCGUCACUAUUGAUAUCAGUGGCAAGCAUCCUCUUCUGUCUCUCUUCCUGAAUUGUGAAACAAACUCGAAUGAGCAUUCAAUUCAUACUAAAAAAGUACAAAUGAGAUGCAACAUCCAAUUUCUCAAAGUUCUUUGUUCCACUAAAUAAAGGGCAUGUUUACUUAUCAAAAAUGGACAUCCAAGGUAUGGGUAUCAUUCCCAACAUAUCCUGCGUAUACUAACACACAAGGAAUGAAAAAAAAAUACGUCAACCAUGUAUGAAAUCAUCAAAGCGGGUAACCAGUAUCAUUCCCAUUCAUGACUUCUUCCUAUUAAACAUGCCCAAAAGGAAAUGGAAAGCCUAACAUUCAAAAAGUUGAAUAUAAUGCAUUUUCUUGUUACAUCCUCAAAACAUCAUGCCACUUGCAUCACACCAGAAUCAAAUUAAACAAAUUGUAUUAGAGAUGACACCAGUUACCAUAUAUAUAUUCAUAACAAACAAAGGAUAUAUCUUAGUGGCCAAAAGCAUAUAAACUGCACUUGCCAACAUUCUACUGCUAUUUACUAAUAAGGACUGCUAAUAUUGCAAAUAACUUCAAAAAUUUGCACUAUUCCUUGAUUAUGAGGAAGGAACUACAAUCAUGUAUAUACCAAUUUGGACAUAUAUUGGCACCAGAACAUUGAACUUGUUAGCAACAAUAAAAAUCCCCAACAUAAAGCAAAGACAAGUGCAUUGGCACAUCAAAUUAGCAUGCACGUGACAUGCGUGAAUGAAAAAACACUCAUAAAUUGUAACAAAAUAAGAUACCUCCAAAUGCUCAAGCUGCUCUCUCUCCUCUUGUGCUAUCUCUUCAGGUGUCUUUGUCCUGUCAGAGGGUUGAGCACGGCUUACCAUGACUAAGUUGCCAAAAGUUUUGAAAUAAGAACGGGAUUUUUCCUGUGAAAUUGUAAAUAUCAAGGAAUAAAAAAAACUCUUAUACUAAAGAAAAAAAAUUACAACCGUAACAAGUUAGAAACCAAUAAAGGACCUUCAUGAAAAUACCUGUUCAGAAAGCUCAUCCUUCUUCGAAUGCUCAUUUGGAAUGUUCUUGUCUGGUUCAGUAAUUUGUAACAGUUUAGAGGGCACAAUGGAUGUGAAGGAUUUGUCCAAUUCUUGCCUAAAAUCUUCAAGUUCUUCCUUAUCUUUUGCUCUUUCAGCCUAGAAUGGAUCAAAGGAAAAACGAAGGAAAUCGUAAAUAAAGAAGGAAAAAAGUUUCAAGGAACGCAUGUAAUCACUAUCACCAAACAAGUUAAUGCCAUAAAUGAUUAGAAACCCACCCUAUAAUAUUUGUCUUUUGCCAUAACCUCCUUCAUUACUUCCUUCUUGCUUUUAGGUCUCUGUAGUAUGAAAACAAUGAAACCAAUUACGAUCAUUUAUAAGGGGGGAGAGAGAGCAAGAUAAAAGAAUAGAUUAUAGUGGGAGAAACAAGAAACAGAAUUCCUUUAAAACUACAAUGAAUUUCUAAAUUCGAAGGGGAAUUAACUCUUAAAUAUCAUAUAAAGAGGCAAGCAGCAAAGCAAUCAAGAAAUGUCAAUUAAAAUCCUAAUACAAGUACAAUACCUAAAAUCUAAUAAAAACUUAUUUUACUGAUGUGCAUAUCUUAAACAAUCUUGAAUUUGAAUAUCACAGAGCAAAACUCAGAUAGCAGAAGGGCUCACAUUUUCCUCUCCUUCCAUUAGAUCACCAUCCAUUUGAUCUGUCAUGGCUAACCUUUCUACAGAGAACAAAGUAGGCACCAUUACUGCUAUUAGAAUAGUCCUAACAAUCAAUCACCAAAUCAUAGGGAGAUGCACGUGUUUCCAACAACAACAUAAAAUCACUAAAAAAAAAUUUGGUUAGCAUCAAAGAUCUGCUAUCGUUUUGUGGGUUUUUACUUUCCUUUACUCCAUAUGAGCAAGAGUUCCUUCGGAUACUUGUGAUAAAGCCUAGUCCAGAAAAUGAUAAUAAGUAGAAGCCAGAAUUGUCCAACUCAACCAUCAAGUCAACCACAUGUACUUCUAUCCAAACAUUACAGUUAAAAACCAUGGACAUGUCAAUAACCAAAUUUCAAAUGGUAAAUGGUAACUGAACCCUGAAUGAUGCAUUCAAAAUCUAAGUUGCACAAAUGAAAACUGAAACCCUACUGGAUAAACAAACAACACAGAUAGAAGUAUCUCUACACAUACUCUUAGUUUGAGUGGUUUCUGUGCCAUCGUCGUCAUCAUCAGGCAGCACAUCAUCCUCAAAAUCAUCCCUUUCAGAUAAUGCACCAAGACUUUGAAAUUCAAAGUCGUCUUCUUCUCCAUCUGAUAAGUUAUAUUUGCCUUUCUUGUUCGUCUUUAACUAUUCAUGAAAAUGAAGAGAAAAAAAGAAAGAAAAUGAGAAACAAAACACAUUAAUAAUAAAUUACCCAUGAUUCCAUAAAUUAAACUGAAUAUAGUUCUGAAAUAGAGUUUAUAGUUGCGUGGAAAGCUUGCCAAAAAGAAAGGAAAUUUAGAUAUCAUGUGUUAGAUAUGUACAUUUUAAUGAGAUACGCUUUGUGCGACAAACUACAACUGUUUACUAUUUCCCUAUAUUUUCCUGGUCACCAAACAGAAAACAAAGCUGACCCCAAACAAUGGGUAGAAAUUCAGAAAAUGAGCUUACUUGAUGCUCACGCUGCGCACGCUGAAUGGCCUUAUCGAACUCAUUGAGCUCGUCAUUAUGCUCCCCAAUUCGCUUAUCGACAAAGACCGAAGCUUUAUUGCUCUGCUCGUACUCCCUCAGCAGCGUGUUCUUCCUCUGAGCCACCAAAGCAUAAAUAAAGCAAUAAAAUUACAAAAUUUGAAGUAAAUUCAGAAAGGGAGUGACGCAAUUCAGUACCUUUUCAAUGGCGCGAGAGCGGGAGAGGCCAACUCGGCGCUCUUCGCCUUUGCGCUUUUUGCCGAGAAUGUCGAAUUUCCUCCGGGACCAAAUGGUCUCGAACGGGUUGGGUUUUAGGGGGGCCUGGUGCUUCAUGGCGACAGCGUUCGGGCCUAGCUUAUUCUUUUUCUUCUUCGCCGUCGCCGCCGCCUCAUGGUUGUGAUUGGCGUCAGCUCUGCCGAGUUUUGGUGAUUUGGUCUCGAAGGGGUUGGGUUUUGAAACGGACUUCUGGUGGUGCUUCUCCUUGUGUUUCGCCAUUGGAGAAUGGUGUGAGCAGGGAGGUGAUGCCGGUGGUUUAGGGUUUAAGCAUUCGAGGAAGAAGGCGGGGCUUAGGGUUUUGCGGGUGUUAGGUACUCAAGCCCAAGAGCCCAACCUAAAAUACUAGUCCAUAGGUGGGAGGACCCUUGCACUUAAGUACUACUACACAAUUUCUUAUGUAGCCGAUGUUGGAUCAUAACAUUACACCAUCUUUUGGAAGACCCGACGUCCACGGCGGCACCGGUCGCCAAGUCCCUUAGGAACCCAUACUCCCAAGGAGGCAUCACUCACCAAGUCUCGCAAUGUCGGGAACCUAGGCUCUGAUAUCAAUGUUAGGUACUCAAGCUUAAGAGCUCAACCCAAAAGACUAGUUCAAGUCGUGAGUAAGGGAAUCUGUCCCAAAGAUGCUUUGGUGUGAGGUUAGCUAGGCCUUUGCGAAUAAGGACCCUCUUUGGAUCCUCUUUGUGAGGAUCCCGGAGAUUUUCUAAUCACAUCUGUUCAUCGUACAUCAUACGGUCAGUUUUCAUCAGGUAUUGUUUAUAUUUAAUUUUAAAUAAAAAAUUUACAAUAAUUUCUGAUCGUAUGAUAUACGAUGAAUGAAUUUAAUUUGAGAAUUUCCGGAAUUAUCCGGAGAGAAUUCUCAUUCGGCCUUUUACAUAUAUUGGAGAUAAGACACUCGAUAAAAGGAGUCAAGGGAGGGACCUCAUUGUCUCUCCAAAGAAAUAAUAGACCAUUGACCUGAAUAAUUACAGUCACACUUUUUCCAUUCACAACCACCCUUUUAUUUACAAACAGAUGCAGAAACAAUCAUAAUUUUCAUGCAGUGAGAUUAGAUUAUCAUAUAUAUAUGCGCUUAUCUUGGACUCUUAAUUACUUAAUUAAGCCAAUAGCCAGAAAUCUUUCUGGCGCUUUGUAGUAAUCAAAUACCCUCCAACCUUCCUGCUUUUCCUUCUCACAGCAACUGCCAUGCAACUGGCAUUUUGUAUACAGUACUCCACCACACCGCCGCGACCGCCGCUGAUCCGGUUGCCGGUCCACAUCACCAGCAGACGCCAUGUAGUAUACCUCUUUUUCUGCCCCAGUACAAGCAAUCCCACUUCUUGUUUCUUUGCCUCUUCCAGUAUUUUUGGACCUUUCUCCUUAUUCCCUUCCACCACCACUGCAACCUCAAUUUCUACCUCUGGCCUCUUCAACCGACACAUGUUCCUCAAAGAGUGGACAAGUGCAUAAGCCCUUGGAGAUGGAGCUAUCUCCUUGCUGGUCUCCUCACCUGCAGCUGUAACAAAAUAAGUCAUAAAUCAUAAUUCUUUCAACAUAAGUGUUUCUUACAAAAUAAAUCUCAAAUCGGCCCUAAGUGAUAUAUAUUCAGUUUUUCUAUAACUUCACUCAAGAAAGUUAAAGUAGAGUUACACAAAAGAGAACUGCUAUUGGCUCUUUAAAAUAGUCACGCACUCCUUAUAAUAAAAAUAGAUGUAUAAAUAAACAAACGAAAGACAAGUACAAAAUGACUAUUGUAGAGUAAAAAACAUUAAUUCCCUAUGAAAACCGACAAAAUAAAAUGUACAACCUUGCUUUGAGUUUGCAGAUUUGGUGACAUGAAGCAGCACAAUUUUAUCCUGGCUCUGCACAGUGUGAGAGAGAGCCCAUUGGAUAGCUCCUUUGGCUUCAAGGCUGGAAUCAACCACAAUCAUGAUUUUCCUAGCAAUUACCAACGCAGCUUUUUUAGGCUUUUCAUCACCACCACCACCAGCUGCUUUCACUUUCUCUUCUUCUCCAACAUUCCCAGAAUCCUCAAAUUUUCCAUCACUACUUUUUGUAGCGACAUCUGAAGCAUCUGGCUUGAACUGUAUCGGUGGCGACCGAACCCUAACGGGUGGCCUAAUCCUGUUUAGACAGAAAUUAGGCAAUUUAGUGCCUAUUUUCCCCAUUUCCUGAUAUGAAACUCGAUAGACUUUGAGAUGCCUGUAAUUCUUAUAUAUAAAGUGGAGUACUGAAGCUGAACAAAUUUCUAGAUGUGGUGUGGGGGCCAUGGUGUUAAGUUAUUUCUGCUUUGCAUUUGCUUUAUUCGUUUUCUUUAUUUUUGCCGUCUAAUCAUGUUUGUUUCUUUUAUUUUUGCCCUUUGUGCGGUGCUAUUUCUGGUAACAAGCUUCUCAUGAAGCUGUAGGGCCAUGCAAGGCUAUCUGACAUGUUAGGAUAAUCAAUUUAUUUUUCAAAGCAAAAACAAAAAAUACUUGACAAAAAUAACAAUAUAUUGAUCACAUAUCCAAAUAAACAUCUAUACAUUAACUCAACUAUCGACGGUUUGGUGCCAAAUAACAUAUCAUUAUGAAUUACGUAUUUAUUAAAUAUAUAUAGAUGAUUAAACGAUGCAAUUUUCUGUAGUUAGCCAAAAAUUGUAAAACCUGUUAUUCAUCAUGAUUCAUACAUAUGUGUAUCUAUUGGAAUAGUUUAAAUGGAGUUCCCUAGAGAAUGAACUCUGGGAAUGUAGAGUAUAAAUUAGUAUGAUAAAAUAUGAUAAAGUCAUCAAAAUGAAGAAAGAUGUUAAAUAAAAAAAUAUUUAUUCCUCUUCUCCCAUUUUUUUUUCUUACUAUAUAGCACAUUUCAAUUUUACGAUUUUUUUAACAAAAAAGAAACGUCAAUCCGCAUUUGAGUUUGGAUUGGAAUUUUUAUUUUUGAUUCAAUUCAAUUGAACAGUCAACCAACCUAUUUUUUUUUCUGGUUAUAAGACCAAUAGCUCUAGCGGUUGACUCGCUUCUUUCAAAUUGUUUCUCAUUAUUAAGAAAAGGUAACGGAGAUAAAAUACAAGCUUGUUUUAUAGCAAUAGUAAUUAAUCGUUGUUGUUUUAAGGUCAAUCUAUUCACCCAUCAAGAUAAUAUUUUUCCUUGUUCGCUAAUAAAUCGACUAAUUAAACUCUCUCUCUCUCUCUCUCUCUCUCUCUCUCUCUCUCUCUCUCUCUCUCUCUCUCUCUCUCUCUCUCUCUCUCUCUCUCUCUCUCUCUCUCUCUCUCUACACACACACACAGGGAAAAACCAAAAAAGGUGAAGUUUCCAUAAUAUCCAAAUUGCCUUUUUCCAUUAAGAAUUUUAAAAAAAAAUCACAAAAAAAAAACUUCGGGUGGUCAAAAUAUAUUUAAUAACUAUAAUAAGUAAAAUAAAAAAUAGAUAAAUAAUAUAUAUAUAUAUAUAUAUUAUCAAAUAGAAAAACAAAUGAUAAAAUAAAAAGAGUCAAUUAUCACACAAGUACGUGUAGGCUUGGCAAAUGAGUCGUGUUUGUCGUGUUCGUGUCAUUUUCGUGUCAUACUUGUUGUCUUAACGGAUCGUGUCACGUCAAACCUGAUAUCUUAACGGUUCUUAACAGGUGACUCGCAACCUAAUUCGUUAAAGAGUCAUGAAGUUUUGUGUCGGGUUAAUGGGUCAGGCAAAAAAACUUCAAGCCAAAUGUCUUGGCAAAGGAUAUCUUAAUGGGUCUCUUAACGGAUGACUAGAUAACGACCCAAUUUGUUAUUGGGUUCCUAAUGGAUGACUCAAUAACGACCCGAAUCGUUAGCAUGUGGACCCCAGGGUCGGCCCUGAGAAUUUGGGGGCCCUAGGCGAGCCUUCGAAGUGGGGCCCUAAAAUUAUUUGAUCUUCGGUCCUUUGUAUAUUGAUUUGUAUAAAAAAAAUUUGCUAAUUAGAUAAAAAAGUUCUAUUUUCACAUCAAAUAUCAUUAAAAAUUAAUAUCAAAAGAAGAUAAAUAUACAAACAUUACACGAUUCACGUUUUUAGACACAAAUGUACUAAAUGUUUGCAUUCAAGAGUUUAAAAUUGAGAGUGAAGAAUAAUAAAACCUGAUGAUCACAAGAUAAAUAACAAUAAAACUUGAUUGACGAGUAUAAUAAAUUCAACGCCAAUUGUUUUUCUUGUGUUUUUUUCUUCUAAAAUCAACAUCACACUAACGAAUUGAAUAUUAAAGUAAUCCAUUGAAUAAAAAGUUAUUGAAAAGAAAAAUAUAAAAUUCAAAGUUUUGAUUACCUUAAAGUACAAUCUUUAAGACCAUAUGAUAGUUGGUUUAAACAUUCAAUAGAAAUGGAGAGAAUAGGAAGUUGGUUUAAACAUUCGAUAGAAAUUGAGAGAAUGAGAAGUUGAAAGAAAAAAGAUUGCAAAGAAACUUGAGUUUUAUAACUUUAUAUGCAUUUGGACAUAUGGAUUGGGAGUUUGACAGAUGGAUUAGCAGUAAAUUUGAAAAACAAGAAAAAUUAAGAAAAAACUAGUGACUGAAAGGCAGCUUCGUGUUUCAAACUCAACACCCCAAAGAAAAAUGAAGCCAACAUUUCCACUGCACUAACAAAUGAAUUAUGAUAUUUCUUACUUUUUUUUUUGUAUUUAUAUGUUAAGUGCAGGAUAUAAAAUUUUUUUGGGGGCCCUUCCAAAGUGGGGGCCCUAGGCGAGCGCCUACUUAGGCUACCCUUAGGGCCGGCCCUGGUGGACCCAAAACUUGUUAUUUUCAUGUUAUGUUAACGGAUCGUGUAAGAUAUUGCAAGAUCUACAUAUGCGUGUGGCAAGAGGCUAGCGAGUCAUAUAGUUCUAUACAUGCAUGUGAUUUAUAGUCGGCAGCAAAUAAAUAUGUGCCAACCACAAAGAAAUCCGACUGUAAUUUGUGAAUUUUUUAUGCUAAAGUAUGAAUUGCAGUUGAGCUUUUAUGCUCAAUGAUUUUUAAACCUUUUUUAAUGAGUGAAAAAUUAUUGGAUUUGUGUGUACAUUUUGAUUUCUCUGACAGUGAUAUGAUGAUUUUGGUUGCGUUUGAGCCACGCUAGUUGUUUAUGCAAAUACAGAAUGCGUAACUAAAAGCCCUUCUACAUAUAUAAAGUUAUAAUUUGCUUAUCUGGAUUUUCAAUCUUGCAUUAAUAAUUGCUCUAAGCGGAUGCCAGCACAAUUAGGAAUACAAAAAUGAAAAUUAAACCCCACAAAAGUUAUAUAAAUAAAAUCUCACCUAAUACAGUAGAUUCAUUGAACUGCAAUUCAAGUAAAUCGACUGGUAGGAUGAGAUUAUUAGACGGAAAAUACUUUCAUCCAUUCCAUGCAUGGUGUGCUGCGUGCACCACUUUCUCCAUUAAUUUGUUAUUAGCAUAUCGCAUAAACUUUAUAAUUAGAAUUGUACAAAUUUUUCUUGUGAACGGUUUAUUUUGUUAAAUAUUCUGUAACGAUAUUUAUCUACAAAAAAUCAAUUAAAUCAAUAUUAAUCAGAAGUAUUAGUUAUAGCGAGAUCAUACCCGGUGCAUAAUGAAUGUCGAAUUUAGACAUGAUGAAACAAGUUAAAGGUUGUGCUUGGAAACAAAUUUUGUUUGUUAAAGUGCUAAAUCUUUCGUUAAUUAGGAUGCUAAACUACUUUACACAAGAAAAGGAUGUGCCAACCUCCAUUUAGACUUCCAAUCUUAAAAAAGAGAAACAGUAGAUUUGUGAAAGAAAAAGGGAUUUCUGCAUGUCUUAUCAAAAGAAAGUGGCCAAACAUGAUAUAUAAUGUUGUUGCAGCUAAAGGCAAUUAAGCGAAUAAGGUUGACUUGUUACUUCAUUAAUUGAUUAAAUUUCAGUGAGGAUAACCAAUUACGUAGUAUUAUAAGUUCACUCAUAUCAUACUACAUAACAUUUUGUGAUAACAAUGUCACAAUUACACAAAAGUUACCCGUCAUUAGAGAUUCGGACACUGGAGAAGAUGUCAUCCUACCCUGUGCAUUUGGGCUUUCCUCAGUUGGUGGCAAGUAGCGCAUAUAUUAACAAGCUUCAAAGUAGGGUCGCAAAAGUAGUUGGUGUUCAGCCCCAACUAAAACCAGAAUAAAAGGGAAGGAAACUUGCAAAAGAAGAUUCGGUGUCAGCAAAGAUAGCCCACAAGAAUUAGGCCCCAUGAAAUAUUACCACUUUCGUAUUUUAGUAGGAUUAUUUUCCUUUCAAAUUCUUUUUCUGUAAUUUUCUUCUAUUUGAACGAUUAAGAUUAAAUCACAUUAACAUUUUAAGUUUACUCUUUAUAGAAGAAAAAAAGGAAAAGAAGAAAGUGAGAGAGGAAAGAAACGAAGAGAAGGGCAAAAGAUUUAGAAGAGAGUUUAGUAAAAAAAAGAAAAAAAAAAGAUUUAGAAGAUAGAGAAUUCUCUGUUACUUUUUUUUUGGGUCAAAGUUUUGGAUCUUGACCUUUUAAGUUGUAAUUAAGCAGAAAACCCUACAUUGUUCCAAAAAAAAAAAAAACUACAGAACUAGAGUUAGAAUUAUAAACAAACACGACUUUAGAAAUUCAGUUGACACAAAAUUCAGUGCCUUCAUAUCAUCUCUUAAAACCCUUUUUGCCGCUUCUUUGUCUUGUUUUCUGUUUGGUUAUCUGGAUUUUUUUAUUGCGGAGUGUGAGAGUUGAGGAUGCACUUUCCCCAUUGAAGUAUGCUGCCUCUCUACUGCCUUAUAGUCUUUAAACUCUUCAUCAAUACUAUAUUUCUUUUAAAUAAACUAUGUGAUUUUUUAAGAGCAAUUUAAUCUUUCAAUGGCGUUGCUUUUCUACUUUUAUGCCUCUUAAAUAUUUAAUGUUUGAUUUUGUAAUUUUUGUUGCAAUAAUCAUCACUCAUCAUCUUGACUUUUUUUUUUUUUUUUUUUUUGGUUGUUAUGGUCAAUGCAGGCUGGGGACUGCUUAAGCUGAGCAAAAAAACUGAAGGUGUGAGACAUGGGUUCGGCUUGUUCUUGCUUCCGGUCAAAAGAUCCUAUAGAAGAUAAUAACGGUGACAAUGCAAGUAAUGGUGAUGUUGGCUUCACUCAAAACUUGUACAACAAAGUAUGUUUUUCAGAUUUUGAUUAUCACUUUCCUAAGUUCGUUAAUUCUGUUUGCAACUUUUAGUUUUAUGACAUAAUCAAAAGUUCAAAGGUCAAUAGGUCUUAAGUUCAUCUGACACCUUCAUAUUUUUGUGUUUCUAUGGGUCUUAAGUUCAUCUGACACCUUCAUCUGACGCUCCGAUUAGAAGAUGCGACUAUGGGACAGAGGUUCAGGGCCGAAGGGGCAGAGGAAGAUCUAGGAAAACUUUGGAAGAGACCCUAAGAAAAGACUUAGAGUACUUGGAUCUAACGGAGGACAUGACACAGGACAGAACACAAUGGCGUUCUAAGAUUCAUAUAGCCGAUCCCACUCAGUGACUUGGAUUUUCCAAGUCUCCAACCGAGAAGUUUUCCUCACUCGGGAAAUUAAGGGAACACUAUCUCAACCUAUAUGCUCCACUCACAAAGCUUCAACAUACAAGCUUCAACAAAAGAAAAUUCAAAGAACUUAGCGAAGAAGGCUUUGGUGUAUUUAACACAAUACGUUGAAAUGAAGGAAAGCUUAUUUAUUGAUAUCCCCGAUAAGUUACAAAUAUGUACAUAUACUUGAGUCAAAAUAAACAAACAAGAUGGAGCCUUCACAAAGGUUGCUUAGGAGAAGUCUCAGCAGUCGGUAGAGCACCAGAAAGAGAAGGCACCGGAGGGGGAUCAUUCGGAGCCUCAGUAUUGGACAAAACCCUAGAAGGAGGAGGCAUCAGAGAUUGAUCAUUUGGAGCUUCAUUACGCGGUACAAGCCCCCAGAAGACGAAGGCAAUAAAUGCCUUUGGAACAAACCCACAAAUCUCUGAUGAUCAAGUAAAACCUGACCAUCAGAUUCCUUCAUCUGGUCAAGCUUCCUCUUCAUGUUUGUAGCAUAGUCAUGUGCGAGCCGGUGCAACUGUUUAUUCUCAUGCUUGAGCCCUCUAAUCUCCUGUUUGAGACUCAUCACUUCAGCCGCCAAUGAUUCAACUUGGCGGGUUCGAGCAAAUAGGCGUUGGGCCAUAUUAGACACAGAACCUGCACACUGAACAUUGAGAGCCAGAGAAUCCUUAACAGACAACUCAUCAGACCGUUUGGAAAGUAGUCUGUUAUCUUUGGGAGUGAGAAGGUUCCUGGCCACUACCGCAGCGGUCAUAUCAUUCUUCAUCACGGAAUCCCCAACGGUAAGAGGACCAGUAGGGGAGACGAAGGAUGGGCGCCAUAUGUUGUUUGGAAAAGGCGGGGCUGCCUCUUCAACAAGGUUCAAGUCAAAACGACGGUCGGAGGGGCCAGACAUUUUCAAAGGUGUUGAAGAGAGAAGAGGUCGGACAAAUCAAGAUCUUAGAAGUGCAAGAAUGGAGCUUCUACUGGGGGAUAUUCAAGUGUGUUUUGGAACUUAAUGUCAGCCCCUAUAAAAAUCUGCACUCGACGAAGCUUCAGAAAUCGAAGAGGCGCCUGCUCAUAAAUCGAAGAGGCGUUUGCUUUCUCAAAAGCUGGGCUGCUCAGAGAUUCUCAAAAGCUGGGCUGCUCAAAGACCACAAAGGCCGAUCUCAGAAAUCGAAGAGGCUUGCUUUCUCAAAAGCUGGGCUGCUCAGAGACCACGAGGGCCGAUUUCAGAAAUCGAAGAGGCACCUACUUUUCCAGCCUUGUUAGCACCUGUCACACGCACACUCAGCUUUGCGGAAAUUAUGGGCAUUCUGUCGAAGAUUUCUGGCGAAGUAGAAAGCACAUGAAUCGUACUGUUCAAUCACCCACUUCCCACACGCAACAGUAGCUCAUGGGUACCACAGAUAACUUUUCCAAAGUUCUCUGACAAAGUUGAGACACGUGAAGCUUGCAGCUCCCACUACACCGCUCUGACCAAGAAGGGUAAAAGAAUUGCAAAGAAACAACACUAACAAAGUUUAGACACAUAAAUUUUGAAGGUCUAGCUACCAUAUUAUUACCCACAAGGGUAAAGGAACAGUACCACUGCUGGAUAAUUGGAAAGUCUCAGUGUGUCAACCUCUGUGCUUCGUGGCAAGGUAGACUAGCAAACAUGCCCAACCUUUACUCACAUUCGAGAAAACACUCCUAACAAGAUUGCUUGCUCCAAAAUCGAAGAGGCACCGCCCUCCGAAUCUCGAGAGCCAGACUCCCAACAUGAUUACUUUCUCAAAAAUCGAAGAGAAGGUAAAGGAACAGUACCACUGCUGGAUAAUUGGAAAGUCCCUGUGUGUCAACCUUUGUGCUUCAUGGCAAGGUAGACUAGCAAACAUGCCCAACCUUUACUCUCAUUCGAGAAAACACUCCCAACAAGAUUGCUUGCUCCAAAAUCGAAGAGGCACCGUCCUCCGAAUCUCGAGAGCCAGACUCCCAACAUGAUUACUUUCUCAAAAAUCGAAGAGACACCGCUCUCCGAAUCUCUAGAGCCAGACCCCCAGCAGGAUUGUUUUCUCAAAAAUCGAAGAGGCAUCGUUCUCCGAAUCUCGAGAGCCAGACCCCCGACAGGUCUGUAAUCUUCACACGCAACAUCAGCUUUCCAGAUACCACAAACCACUUUUUCAAAGUGCUCUGACAGAGUUAAAACAUGUGAAGCUGGCAGCUCCCACUACCGUGCUAUAACCAAGCAGGGUAAAGGAAUAGCAUUAUUACUUGAUGUUAGGGAGACUCCUAUAUAUGUCGACUUCCAUCCCUAACGGACAGGCAGACCUGCAAAAAUGCUCAACCCUUUCUCUUAUCUGAGAGGGCACUCCCAACAAAGCCUUUCGAAAUAUUCAGCUUUUUUUCCCCCCGAUAAUACCUCUGUAAACAAGCUAUACUAGAGCAAGAAUAUCUCAUAUCAUCAGGGUUAAAAGCAAGAGUAUCCCAUAUCAUGCUUUUUCCCUGUCUUUUCCUUUGGCCUUGUUCUUACCUGCAAGACAAGGAGAAAGAGAGCAAUCAGUCAGCACUUGGAAUCAAGCUUUCAGCCAGGAACUGACUGCCUGGAACCCCUUACCUGAUUACUUACCUGGCAUUGCUCUCGAGUACUCAUCUUCAACAUCUUAUGCUUCCAGGGAAGAUACCACAUUUGCCUGAGGAACAGAUAGGGCAAGUGAGAAGGAUACAAGGAAGCAUGUGGAGACAAGCGUAACAGCACACGUGCCGAUACAUCCACUACUCUAUCAAAAGCAAAAGUAUCUCAUAUCAGCAGGGUCGAACGUACUCUAGAUUUGAUGGACUUGUUUUGACCCUCAAAUUCUUCAGUCGGCCUUAUACUCUGGAGGAAACCAGAAAACCCUCCAGCCCAGUUCAAGAAUAAGCCUGUGGAAAGUUACUUCUUCAAAAGCAAAAGUAUCCCAUAUCAUCUCUCCUCAUUUUUUCUUCUCUUUAUCCUUCAUGCUGCCUGCAAGAUAGGGAGAAUGUGAACAAUCAGCCGGAGCUCUGAUUGCUUACCUUGUCUGUCACCUCUUUCAGCAGAUCCCCCAGCUCGGCGACUUGGGGGACUCCUACUACAUGGUUUGUAUCUCGCUUGACCAAGCAUGAAACUACAAGUAAGCUUCAAGUGAAAUUGAUACAUUACCUUGUGCAUCUCCACCAGUUACAGAUACCACCACUGGAUGGAGGAAGAGUACUUCCAGAGAAGAUGCCACAUCUACCUAUGAGACAGAUAAGGCAAGUCAAGACGAUACCACACUCCGGUACUUAGAAGUUUCGUGGCUACGAGAUCAUUCUCCCACAAUUUUUCCUAAUGUCAUUUGUAUUAAAUCAUUCACUUGUACUCACUAAAGGAGAGCUUGAACCUAUGUACUUGUGUAAACCCUUCACAAUUAAUGAGAACUCCUCUAUUCCGUGGACGUAGCCAAUCUGGGUGAACCACGUACAUCUUGUGUUUGCUUUCCUAUCUCUAUCAAUUUAUAUACUUAUCCACAUUAAUGACCGGAGCAAUCUAGCGAAGAUCACAAAAAGUGACCGUUUUCGCUACCUAGGAUCUAUCUUGCAAGAGAACGGAGAAUUAGAUGGAGAUCUCAACCAUAUAAUACAAGCUGGAUGGAUGAAGUGUAAGAAUGCAUCCGGCGUGUUGUGUGACCGUCGUAGGCCACUGAAGCUCAAGGGAAAAUUUUAUAGGACGGCAAUAAGGCCAGCGAUGUUGUAUGGCACAGAAUGUUGGGCGGUGAAGCAUCAACGUACACAAAAUGGGUGUAGCGGAGAUGAGGAUGCUUCGUGAGAUGUAUGGGCACACGAGAAAGGAUAAGAUUGGGAAUUAGGAUAUCCGAGGUAAAGUAGGAGUAGCCAAAAUUGAAGAAAAUAUGAGAGAAAAUCGGUCCCGGUGGUUUGGACAUGUGCAAAGAAGGCCUACUGACGCUCCGGUUCGAAAAUGUGACUACGGGACAGAGGUUCGGGGCCGAAGGAGUAGAGGAAGACCUAGGAAAACUUUGGAAGAGACCCUAAGAAAAGACUUGAGUACUUGGAUCUAACGGAGGACAUGACACAAAUGAGCGCAAUGGCGUUUUAGGAUUCAUAUAGCCGACCCCACUUAGUGGGAAAAGGCUUUGUUGUUGUUGUUGUUGUAUGGGUCUUAUCUCAAUUGAAUCGAUUAAAUUGAAAUCUGAUGAUCAUCUAAUAUCGAUUUUUAGAUUGAGAAAUAUAGAGCAUCAAUCAGCAGUUGGAGAAGAGAUAAUUUAGUCAAUUCAUCUAAUGAGGUUGCCGACGCAUCUUCAAUACCCGAUGGGGCACCUCAGGUUGCACAAUCUGGCACUACUACUGUUGAAGUCCAAGUUGUCCAAGCCCCUCCACAAGAGGGACUAAAUGAAGGGUUAAUAUAUCAGAACCCUAAUGAGUCCUUAAAGAAGUCAUCAUCUGGAAAAGAAGCCACAGGGCUUAUGUAUAUCUAUGAUUUAUUAGAACGUGGCGAAGAAUGUCCCACAUGCCUGGAAGGUGAUCAUUAAUUUAGCGAAAUCUGUUUCCUUAUGCCAGAAUAUUAGUGGAUUAUAUGUGUUAUUCUUUUAUAAACUGACUUAAGGGUAUAAUUAUCUUAUGCUGAGGGUUCCUCUAUUUCUUGUAAUGACUGCAGAAUACACGACUGAAAAUCCAAAGAUAACAGUGGAGUGUUCUCACCAUUACCACCUUUCUUGUAUUUUUGAAUGGAUGGAGAGAAGCCCAACCUGCCCAAUUUGCAGCCGGGUAAUAUUCAAUUUCUUCCUUGCCUUUUUUAACUUGUAUAUAUGGAUAUAGCAAAUAUCACGUUUUCCGACAGGCACUUUCUGAAUUAGGGUUACUCUUAAGUUAACGUGCAAAUUGAGUUUAGACGCCAAUUUGUUUUCUAGCUGAUGAGGCAAAACUUGCAUAACAUUGGCACCGGCUGUACACAACUUUCUGCGAAUAUCACAUGACUAAAGGCAAGGCUAGUACACAGCUGGUGUAAUGGUAGAAUCUCUUCGCCAAUGACUGAUGACGUGAAGUUCAUCCUGAAAAUUAUUGGCCAAAACAUACCUGAAAUAUUUUGGAUUUUGUAACUUCUCCCAACUAAAUUUAAUCAAAUCGGCAAACUUUGUGUUGCAUCUGAUCGUUGUUAAUUAAAUUGAUUUUCUAGGUGAUGUUAUUUAGUGAAACGUCUUGAGACUCAACGCAAAUUGUUUGGCAUGCAAUGGUCAGUGAAGAGAUACCAAAACCAACAGAAAAGUAGAGCUUUUUCUGGUCACCAAAUCGAAAAGUCUGGUCACCGUUGUGUGCUAGAUUCUUGUAUUUUGAUAUGCUCCUUGAACUAAUUUCAAUUAUUCGAUUCCUUUUUUGCAAUUCUUUCUUCUUGAAAGAGUGAGGCUGCAAGUAUUCUAUAACUUUCCGGCUUAAAGUAUUUGUCCAAUUGAGCAGUGACUUAUUCUAUCAGUUACUGUGUCUCAUUUAUCUCUUUUUAAUUUUUUUCGUUUCUUGUGCAUAGUUACAUUGUAUCUUAAUCAAGUACUAAGCUGUAAACCCUAAUUGAAAAAGAAAAUUCCUCCAAAGUCACCUCAGUUACAGAUACCAAAAUCCUAAUUAAUUUAAUAAUUAAACUAACAUUAUAGAGAAAAAAUACAGUCAAAUAGAGUUUAGCUCACACAUUUACUCAAUAUUUUUCAGGUCUUUGGAAAUAUAAAUAGAAUUACAGGACAGUUUCAAAGUUCAGUUCCUCAUUGCCAUCGUCUGAUAAUCUUCCUUUCAAUAACUUACAUAUGGUACCAAAAUAUGGAUUGCUACAAAAGCAGUACGUUUAGGGUUGGUCCAAAAUUUACCAAGAAACCAGAAAUUUAAUACAGAGAUAGCACACAUAUAUAUAGUUUUGUUUUCUUUCCUUUUAAUUCUUCCUUUCUUUUUCUACCCAUUGAUGAUCAAGCAGCAAAGCAUCCGAGAUGGCAUGAAUAAAAUGGUUCCAGUGUAAGGUCCAGCUGGUUCCUCCUCACUUGAAGGAAUUCAUCUUGCUGCGUCCCCCUGCAUAUCAUAUCGUAUCAGACUAUGCAUUGCAUAUAAACAAGUUAAUUAGGGUCGUUGAUACCAAGUUAAUUAACUUCUUAACUGAUUCAUCACUAUUGUCAGUGUGGUCAAACAGAUUUUCUAUAAAACAAUAUUAACAUGCUAAGAGCAUCUCCUGAUGUGUAGCACAUAUACAUCUCUUAUUGGCCAGAAUGCUCUCCAAUUAUAAUUUUGAGGGGAUUUAAGUACGCAUCUUGACCUGAAGAUGAAAGUUUCAUCUGCUUUUUUUUUUUUUUUUUUUCUGUAAGUGAAAUUUACAUCUUCACAUUGGAGCAACAACUACAUUUAGAUUUCCCAAAAUUAUAUGAAAUGUAAAUGUGAUUUUUACAUCUCAAAGCUGCAUCUUUUCCAUUGAAAUUGCUCUAAUAAAACAAGACAAAUUAACAGGCCCUAGAAUUAAGAAUUUUAUGUGGGAAGAAUAAUCACCCAAUGUUAAGACAUGGAAGGGGCUGUGGAAGCAGGUCAAGGUCAUGGUUCUGCUGCUCCCAGUUUUGAACCUGGGGCUGAGCUGCAGCCUUCUCCUUCUCCUUUAUCUAUUUCCAAAAUUUAUAUGAAAAACAGAAAACCGAAAAGAAGAAUCAUCACAUAAAAAACCAUCCAAGUUAAAGGCAAAUAUAAACCCUAGACUACAACCCUAUUUGACUAUGUGAUAAAAUAGUAUAAGCAUAUUAUUACCUUCUUUGCUAGCAAGUUAUUUUGCUCCUGUAUCGCCUUUUCCUGCACGACACAAAAAGAUAAAAAACAAUUAAAUGAGCCACGUAAAAUAUAUGCCACACAGUACCAUUUCUCUUUCUCUCGCAGAGUCUAAACAUAUUCACAACGGAAAAAACAUGCUAUAGGUGCCCUAACCUUUCUCUGAAGCUCAGUGAUGGAUUCAUGCAUGAGUUGAUUCUGAAAGAAGUUAAGAGAAUACUUUAGCGUCAUCAAACUCAAAAUUAGUCUAGUGUAAGUACAAAUGCACCAUUAAGAGAAAGCGAUCCUCGUUAGCAAGCAUAAUAAGUAUUUACUUUUCUUAAUCGAAUUUGUUUAUGAGCGGUGUCAAGCUGUUGCUCCAAACUUUGGAUAUCCUUGAGAGUCAAGGAAUCCAGGUCUUCUCCCAAAUAGUGCCUAUGGUUUCUUUGCAAAACCUCAACUUUAGCCUUUAGUCUGGAAUAUUCAAAGGUCCAGUUACCCUGCGCAUCAAGAAAUUGUAUGAGUAAUUAUAACUCAAUCAAAAUAAGGCGUACCAGUUAAUUAGUAUUAGGAAUUUGAUGGCAUGGCAAACCUGCGACUCAAAAUCUGGUUCAACUAGCUGUCUUUCUGCGUAAGAGUAUCUUUCAUAGCGUUCAAGGAUUUGCUCCAUACUGUAAUAUCCAUGAUCAGCAAUAUCAAGCAUAUGAAAAAGUAGCAAUUAGCAUCUAGCUAGAAGAAUCAACUUGCUCCUCUAUCAAAAACCCCAUCUUAAUGAAUUGAUUGAUUAAUAAUAUGAUAGAAGUUCUGAAACACUUCCAAGGGAGUAUAUUCAUAUGAUUACGAAAAUUAGUCAUGAUCAUCAUCGCAUGAAAUAAUGUUGAUUAUUAUAUAAUGAAUGCCAGGCAAUACAAACUUUGGAGUUGCAACAGUCUUGCACUUUUUUAUUCUUGUUUGCGGUUUACCGUCGAGCAAGCAAGUCACGUUUCACCUCUAAGAGGUUCCAGUACUACUACAGAUCUGAAUGUGUGUGUGUAAAUAUGAUCAACUAGGAGACUGUUAAUAUAUAGCUAUAUAUUAUAUACAUAUGUUUACAAAGAGACUGUUACAUAUUGCACAAGUUAAGCUAUUUUAUGGUCUCCUAGCUUCAAAUAAUUGAGCUCCUGUUGAAGACUGUAUUAUUUAAAUAAACAUCUGAGAUUUAAUGCACCAGGAUUCACGUUUUCUGGGCUUCCUUUCAUUUCACUUCAUAUAUUCUUUAGUUAAAAACACAAUAUUCAAACUGUAUUAUGUGCGUCGUCUGGGUAUUAUAUAUCAUAUAUGGUAGUGGAAUAUUCUCCUGCGAGGAUUCUACUUGCUGCUGCUUCCACUCCUUGUUUGAUGUUUUUACUUUUGCUGACAAAAGAAAUUGUUCUGCUUACUCAUUACUAAGUUAACAAGGAUUAGAAUUAGUAAUGAUUAUAUCAAACCGCUCUCAGAAUUAGUAAUCAAGCCGGCAAGUUUAGUCUCAUCACAAUUGGUGGGUUCAAUUUAUUACGGAAAAAUAUAAAACAAGUACCGAUCAACAUGUUUCUUUUGUCAGAGGCAACCAUUAAUUAAGACCUUGAAACUCUAAUUAAUUUUGAGUUCUAAAAUUUAAACACUCAUUAAGUAAUUUGGCCAACAAAAGAAAAUGCACAAAAGAAGUACAUCUAGCUUUUUUGGUCAAUAGAAGUACAUCUAGCUAAUUUAAUAUUAUUUCCUACUGCUUUCAUCGAUCGAUCUUCUAAUUACCUUGCAGAAACCCACAUCUCAGUUAACCAGCAUCAGAUUAUUACAAAUUAACAACUCUAGUUACUUCAUCUAUAAUAAAUUAUAGUUAACAGAGUACCACUUUAGGACAACUCAGGGUUAACCAUUGACGAAAACAUAAAAUCACAUGCUUAUGGUACAACCUUAAUAACAAAUUUGUAGUGAAAGAAAACAAAACAAAAAUAUGCAAAAAAGAGGAAACAGCAUCUCCAACAGCUUAAUUAAAUAAAGCUUUUUGGUUACUUUGAAAAAAUAUAGAAAAACCGAACUAAAACGGGCUAGCUAUUUUAAUUCGGUAAACAAUAACUAGCAAGAUUUAGAAGAAGAGAUAAAGUUAAUUUUUUGUUAAACAUUAAAAACUAUAAAAUUGCAUUGUUUGUGGGCUUCAAGAGAAGAAAAAGGGAUUGGAGUCUAAAGUUUAGGAAAAAAUAAUAACAAAAUAUUUUAACUUUAGCUAAAGUAGCUAGUAUUGUUGGGAGUGGUGGCUAACCAAAUUAACAUUUGUGUCAUUUGGCUAGCUACAGUAACAAAAAUUUCGGUAGUAUUAUUGGAGAUGCUCUAUCAAAGCAAGGUAUAUGAAAUUUUUUAGCUAGGUUGAGCUCGAUUUCUUAGGCGGCGUUUCUAAAUCCAUUUACUUUCUUACAAAUACAAAUUUCUAGGUUUCUCGAAUAGAGAAGUUAGGUUUUUUCUUUGAUAGAAAUUUUAGCUAGGUUUCAGUAAAUAAAAUUUGAGAUGAGGAGUUAUAAUUAAUAAGAAAAUAGUAUACCAUGAAUCUGUGGCGUACUCAAGGAGCUUCCCCUUGUUGGAGAAGACAAUCAAAGCAACCUGAGCAUCACACAAGACAGAGAUCUCAUGAGCCUUCUUCAGCAGCCCAGUGCUUCUUUUGGAAAAAGUCACCUGCCUGUUGAUCUUGUUCUCUAUGCGCUUCAGCUGAACUCUACCUCUCCCCAUGAUUAAAUAUUUAUGGACUCUGAGUUACCACUCACUCUUUCAACUGCUUGUUCUUUGAUUUUCUUUCUCAAAAAAACCAAACAACCGAAACCCCCAGAAAAAGAAAGACAACCCAGAAAAUGAACUGGUAGGCUGUCGAUUUAUAUACAAAAAAGAAAGAAAUAUAGUUACGAUUUAAUGGGAAUAUUAAUUUAUGCAAAGUUUCUUCUUAUAGCCAAAUACGUGAAGGUGCCUGAGAAAGUAUAUGUGCUAAUAACCAGCUCUACAGACUUUUGAUUUGAUGAUAGAUUAAGCGGUUUUUGUGAAUACAAGUGGUUUUGGGAAAACCGGUGGGGUUUUAAAGGAUUUGUUGUCGACUUCUGAUUAGCCGAGGUGUACUAUGUAGUCGUUUUCUCUCUUUCCAACGGGGCCAGGAAAAGACACCUCGAUUUUAUCUUUCUUACAUACCGGUGUAGCUCACUAGGUACCGGCUUCCUGCCGGACUCAAGAGUCUCAGGUAUGCAUUGUACGAACCUUCAGCUUUACUGUUACUUUUUUUCUCGACUCGUAACCAGCUGACGUACGUAUGCACAGUGCCACUUUUUGUGUAGUGAAAAUGGACUAGGAUUCUCCCCUGCUAUUCGGUAUCCCACAUUCCAACAAUGUGUUCAUGAUCAAUUUGACAAGAAAGCAAUAUUUAGUUGUUUAUCACUAUCUCUUUGCGCUUUGUAUUAUUCAAUUACUAGAUGAAGGGCACAUAUUGUAUGAAGCGUACACAUUGCGGUUUUAGAGAUGCGUUUUUUCAAUUGAUGAGGAUAAGGACGUGUUAAUUUGGAAAGCUUCUACAUCUAGAGUCUUUUGUUUUUUGAUGGCUAUGAAAUUGUUCGUCAUUGAUUUUCUGUUAAGAGUUGGGCUUCCAUUGUUUAGUGUCAUUUCAUUACACCUCGCUACUCUAUUUUAGUUUGAAAGAUUCUUUCAAAAAGCUUCCAACGGAGGAUCAACUUUAGCGAUAGGGCAUUCCGCUGGUUCUAAUAUACCAACUAUGUUACAAAAAUUCUAAAUCUAUUAAGCAUUUAUUUUUUAGUUGUGAAUUUGCACAAUGGGCUUGGUGUUGGCAAGCUACCCAAUUUGGAGCUAUUCUUCCGCUUACGGGUUCUUUCUUAGAUUUCUCGCUUGCUUUUGUGUCAAAGCGAUUUUCUCCACUACUUUGCAAUGUCUGGCUAGCUUCAUGGUUUUUCUUGCUAAUGGCUAUUUGGAAAAUGCUUGAUAAAGUGAAGUUUGAAAGUAAGCCUUAUUCCUUCUCACGCCCUUGCCAUUCAUUUCGGUCUGGAUUAGGCAGGUUGGAGUUUUCACCCUGGUCAUGGACGAGGUAUUUUGGGUAAGCAACUUUUAGUCUCUCUUGCAAUCUCGGCUGAGUCUUGUAAAGCUCCAUCUAUAGUCCCUGUUCCUUGGCAUCCUUCACCAUUUUCUUGGUACUGAUGACCUUGCUAAAGGUAACCUGGGUCAUGUGGCUUUUGCUGGGCUUUUCCGAGAUUCUGGGGGUUAUUUUCUUGGUAGUUCUCCCUAAGCUUGGAGCAUCGUACUUCUUUUUAUGCAAAGCUUCAUGGUGUCAUCCUUACUGUGGAGUUGGCCCACGUAUAGGGUUAGCAAAAUUUAUGGCUUGAAAGUGACUCUUCUAGUGUGAGAUCUUGUUUUGCUUCUGGAUCUUUCAUUCCUCUUUGGUCGCUCCAGACACGUUGGAAAAAUUGUAUUUUCCAAUUGCAGAACAUGGUAUUUUGUUGCUCUUACACAUUUCGAGAAUGGAAUGCAGUUGCUGACAAAUUAGCCAAUUUAGAGCUUAUCUUGUCUUCACUUGUUUGACAUGCCGCUCCUUCUAUAGAUAUUUUUUCUCUUCUGCACUCAGAUUUUUUGGGCAUGCUAGCCUACAAGUUCGUCUCCCCUUCUUGAUGUGUGAUUUUCUUUUUUACCUAAUCUUUUUGGAUUUUCCUUUUCAUUUUGCAGCUUGUCUUGCAAAUUCUUACCUUUUAGCUUUAUAGAGGGGUUGGGCCUAUGUCCACCCACUAUUUUUCUUGUAUUUUCUUUUUCAAGAGAGGUAAGGUCUAUGUCCCCCUUCUUUUUCUUGUAUUUUCUUAUUCAAGAGAGGUAAGGUGUAUGUCCCUCCCUUUUUUUCUUGUAUUUUGUUUUUCUUGCUUUAUGAGGGAUAAGGUUUAUAUCUCCUGGACUAGAUGUAACUUUUUUUUUUAUGUCAAUAAAUUUCUCUUAUGCCAUCGAGGUUUUCCAAAAAUAAAUAAAUAAAUGUGUAAGUAUAAAUAAUAGAAAAUUUAAUAGAAAAAAAGUAAUUUUCACUUUACUAUUAUGAAGUUUUGAGGUUUUCAAAACUUUCAAACAUUAAGUUUUUUUCAUCGAGUAUCAUACCUAAGGUUAUGUUUUUCUCCCAGAUUCAUAUACUUUUGUUAGGUUGAAAGUUUGUAACUCCGCUAAAACGUAACGUAACUCUUACAUGGACGAUGACUGUGCAUUCACGUGUCACUUUAGAAGGAACAAGUUCGAUCCUAUCCAAAAGCCCAAAUCAAUCAAUUGAUUCAAAACUCAAAUCAACAACUAAUUAAUUGAUUCAAAUCUCAACCCAAACACCCAAAUCAAUCAAUUUUACAUCUUUGUCAUUUCCUAUGAUAGCAAUACUAGAGUGGAAUUGACUUUGGAGUUUUACCGAAUAAAAAAAAAACAAUUUCAAUUAAGUUUAAAGUUUAUUUUUUUAGCAAUCUCAAACAGAUUUUAAGAUGUGUUGUCUCUUUCUAACUGAGCAUCACUUAGUUUUCAGCAUUUAUCAUAUCUUAUUUUCUUACGUAAUUCAUCUAGCAUGACUAGAACUUUAUGUUUAUGAUCAAAACCAUUCAUAUUUUGAAUCACUCUAUAAACUCAUAUCUGCAAAACAUGAACUAAAAAUAAGGUCGUUUAGUCAAUGUAUUAUAGCACUCAUAAUGUUUUUACCAAUUCCAUUCAUUUAUCUUUAUAUAAUUCAAUGACUAAACGACCUUAUUUUUAAUUGAUUUUUUUGUAAAUGUGACUUUAUUGAGUGAUUUAGAGUAUGAACGGUUUGGAUCAUAAAUACGAAGUACUAUAAUCAACAACGAACAAUUUCGAGUAAAACUAAUACUCAUAUCUUUUGAAUAGUCAAGUAUUAUUCCCCUAUAAAAUGAAAAGGGUCCGCCGUUUAAGGCCAUGUCAUAUCCACCAACUAUAUGGAUGGCUUUUACAUCUUCGUCGUCCUCCACCUCAAAUUCUGAAACCUACCACGCUCGCAGCUGUCUCCCCAUCAAAUUUUACACAACCUUUUACAUCUCUUGGACACCCCAAUAGUGUGAGCUAUGCUCUUUCAUUUCAUCUUCUUCAUCUUCGUCCGCACAUAAGGUCAUACCAAUUUAGAUUUUUUUAUUACUUGGAAAUAAGUUUUAAAAAGAAGAUUUAGCCAUGUACCGUGUCCAUGAUCUUAUAGUAGUAGACAAGUUUGCAUAAUAUAUCAUUAGCACAUGUCCACACACAAAGUGUGUAUGAAUAUUUUUAUUUUGGUUUUUAAAAUGGAAUGAGAGAGUAAGAGACCUAGAGAGAACGUGGGAGUGAGGACAGAGGGGGUUUAUUUUUAUUUUUUAUUUUUUAAUAUUAGAGAUGUUAAAACCACAUGUGGGUGAUGUGUCAUAAAAAAAAUAACAAACUUUGUGUUCUUGUAAUUACUAAAUUGCCCAUAAUUUUUAUUUCUGGUCAAUUUUAAUUAGAGGGUUAGACUGAUAAUUUCCCAGAAUUUUAGUUGACAACUAGAUUUUUAUUAAUAUGUAGUUUGGAUUGAAUAAGCAAAGAAGUCAUGGCACGUGGCAACGAUUAGAUGUAGUGCGUUUGCUCAUUUGGUAAUACAAAGGAAUUUCCAAGGCACAACAAUCUUGAUGAAUUAGGGUAAGUGUUCAACUGUGUGAUCGGCCUCACAAAAAUCACACACAAGCAUUUCAUACCUGAUGAAUUAGGGUAAAAGGAAAAGUGAAACGACAAAAGGAAAUUUUUAGGGCACAUGCUUUCCUGAUGAAUUCUAAUGAAUUAGGGCAAGUGUUUAAUUGUGUGAUCUGUCUCACGAACAUCAUACAAGCGUUUUAUACUACUCACUGGUAAAGUUAAAAUCCAAAUGAAAUAUUUUAGGGCACAACAAUCGUGAUGAAUUCUUGGGCAUUAGUCUCAUGAAUGAAUGAACCCUUCUAUAACAUUAAAAGAUACUAGGCAGCAAAUUAUUAACGUUCUUAU
rnacentral:lncRNA from 1 species